UAGCGGCGGUGGUGCUGGUUGUCGGCCUCGAGCGCCUCCUCGGCGCUGACGGGGAGCAUGCCCCAGUCGCUGACC
rnacentral:tRNA from 1 species